ACGAGCCAUAUGAACAAAAACACUCACACUAUCUGAAAACCCCAUCUCCCAAAACUAUCUGAAAACUCUUCGCCGUUGCGCCGCUGCUGCCACCUCCAUCGCUUACAGUUGAGGUACCAAAGCUUUUGGAGGCUUCCUCUAUUCAUCUGCGUACGAUUAUCUGGCUUCUGGAGGCUAAUACGGGGAGGAAUAUUCUUGAAACAGAUCAUCCAGAAGGUCCUUUUGGCACUAAGCUCAAUUCCCUCAAAGGAGACGAAGGAAAGCGACAACUCCAUUUUAUUUGUGUGUGACUCCAUUUCUCUGUUUUAAGGUAACAAUUUGUGUUCUUUUAGGCUUCACCACAU